CCUAACGCUACGUCACAGUGUCUACGUCAUUCACCUCACUUAUUCUCAUCAUGUAAACGUGUUAUCAUGUCAAGUCAUCACAAGAAGAAGGCCAGAGGCAAGCCCAGCCUGCAAGGGAUUCUGAGAUUUGGGGCUGGGACCUACACUCCAUGAGACAGAGAAGCAGAAGGAAGGUGUUUCAAGAAGAAGAGCUACCAGGGUGCAGCAGUGCUUCGACUCUACAAUGAAACUCUUAUGGAGGAGUAUUAGCACCUUAGUAGGUUACAGGGACACAUGUAUUGAGGGAGGGUCCCCAGGAUUCCCACCAACAGGAAUUAAUAAACUGCUUAUAGCUGAGGUUCCACUGUCAGGAAGCUGACUGAUGGCCAUCAUCUCAGAGCCUGGGAA